rnacentral:rRNA from 1 species
AUUGAACGCUGGCGGCAGGCUUAACACAUGCAAGUCGAGCGGGGUGAUGGUGCUUGCACUAUCACUUAGCGGCGGAUGGGUGAGUAAUGCUUAGGAAUCUGCCUAUUAGUGGGGGACAACAUCUCGAAAGGGAUGCUAAUACCGCAUAGGUCCUACGGGAGAAAGCAGGGGAUCACUUGUGACCUUGCGCUAAUAGAUGAGCCUAAGCCGGAUUAGCUAGUUGGUGGGGUAAAGGCUUACCAAGGCGAAGAUCUGGAGCGGGUCUGAGAGGAUGAGCCGCCACAAUGGGACUGAGAAACGGCCCAGACUCCUACGGGAGGCAGCAGUGGGGAAUAUUGGACAAUGGGGGGAACCCUGAUCCAGCCAUGCCGCGUGUGUGAAGAAGGCCUUAUGGUUGUAAAGCACUUUAAGCGAGGAGGAGGCUCUUUUGGUUAAUACCCAAGAUGAGUGGACGUUACUCGCAGAAUAAGCACCGGCUAACUCUGUGCCAGCCGCCGCCGUAA